UCGCCUCUCAGGUUCAAGCAAUUCUCCUGCCUCAGGCUCCUGAGUAGCUGGGGUAACAGUUGAGGAAACAGGUUAAACAAUUUCCCAAACUCAUCAGUGGGGAAUCAUAAAGAUACUAAGAAUACAGGAAGAAACAAAAACCAGGAACCUUGCCUCGUAACCAUCUCCUUUCUCAGGCAGGGUCUUGCUCUGUCACCCAAGCUGGAGUGCAGUGGUGUGAUCGCAGCUCACUGCAACCUCUAACUCCUGCAAUCCUCCUCUUCAGCCUCUGAAGUAGCUGGGUCUACAAGCACAUACUACCAUGCUCUGCUAAUGCCCAGGAAUCAAAGCCUUAAACGAAGACUCAACUGUUUAUCUGGAGCUGGUAGAGCAGGUUUGCGCAUGAAGUCACACCCAGUUGGCAUCGGAGAGGCCCGAGAGCCUGUGUGCUGGAGAACUGAGCCAAUUCCUACUCCCACCCGAUUUCUGGCAGGUGUCAACCUGCCCUUUACAAAGUCUCAGCAGAUGCACUGCUUACAAGAUGUUUCAUGUCAACGUAAAGUCUUUAUAGGGGACCAGUCCCAUCCUGCCUGAGAUUCUACUACCCUGAAGCCUCCCUGGGACAUCCUGUGAGAGACUGAUUAUCCUCUUCAGUGGUAGGCUGAAGCUCUCCCAUACUCAGGUACAUUUCUCAUUCCCAGGACAACUAAACCAGCUCUUUUUCCAUCCUCGUAGCAAAUGACACUGAAAAGGACCUGGCCUACACUAAGACGCAUGAAGUCUGGCGAUUUUUAAAUCCAGCUGCAGAUGUAACCAACAAGUUAAAUACUGUCUGACAGGAGUGCUUCAUCUUUAAAAUCCUUGCUGUGCACCACACUACUGCUUCUUUGUGGACUUUUGUCCACAAAGGUCCUUUGGUUCAGUUUGUUGAUACACGCUCAGAGAUUUCAAUUAAAUGUGGUUUUUAAUAAUCCUCAUGCUGUCAUGC